AGAGUUUGAUCCUGGCUCAGGAUGAACGCUAGCGACAGGCCUAACACAUGCAAGUCGAGGGGUAUAGUAGCAAUACUAGAGACCGGCGCACGGGUGCGUAACGCGUAUGUAACCUGCCUCACACUGGGGGAUAGCCUUCCGAAAGGGAGAUUAAUACCGCAUAAUAUUGUUUAUCUGCCUGGAUAGACAAUUAAGGCUUCGGUGGUGUGAGAUGGACAUGCGUAUGAUUAGCUAGUUGGCGGGGUAACGGCCCACCAAGGCGACGAUCAUUAGGGGUUCUGAGAGGAAGAUCCCCCACACUGGUACUGAGACACGGACCAGACUCCUACGGGAGGCAGCAGUGAGGAAUAUUGGUCAAUGGGCGAAAGCCUGAACCAGCCAUGUCGCGUGCAGGAAGACGGCCCUAUGGGUUGUAAACUGCUUUUGUAUGGGAAGAAACGACGGUACGAGUACUGUUUUGCCGGUACCAUACGAAUAAGGAUCGGCUAACUCCGUGCCAGCAGCCGCGGUAAUACGGAGGAUCCAAGCGUUAUCCGGAUUUAUUGGGUUUAAAGGGUGCGUAGGCGGGAGAUUAAGUCAGUGGUGAAAGUUUGCGGCUCAACCGUAAAAUUGCCAUUGAUACUGGUUUUCUUGAGUACAGUUGAGGUAGGCGGAAUGUGGUGUGUAGCGGUGAAAUGCUUAGAUAUACCACAGAACACCGAUUGCGAAGGCAGCUUACUAAGUUGUGACUGACGCUGAAGCACGAAAGCAUGGGGAUCAAACAGGAUUAGAUACCCUGGUAGUCG
rnacentral:rRNA from 1 species